AAAAAGACAAAUCCUAGGUUUCCGUGUCCAACUUUAACUGUCCGUCUUAUAUGAAAUUUUUUUUUAUAAUUCGUAUUUUCAUUGUUGUUAGAUGAUAAAACAUGACUAAUAUUUUAUGUGUGAAUUGUUUUUUUAAUUUUUUUUCAUAAUUUUUUCAAAUAAAACGGACGGUUAAACGUUGGACACGAAACC
rnacentral:pre_miRNA from 1 species